rnacentral:piRNA from 1 species
UGAAUGCAUAGAGCUGGUUUGCGU